AUACGGAGGAUCCGAGCGUUAUCCGGAUUUAUUGGGUUUAAAGGGAGCGUAGGCGGGAGAUCAAGUCAGCUGUGAAAUGUAGAUGCUCAACAUCUGCACUGCAGUUGAAACUGGUUUUCUUGAGUGCGUAAGGGGCAGGCGGAAUUCGUCGUGUAGCGGUGAAAUGCUUAGAUAUGACGAAGAACUCCGAUCGCGAAGGCGGCCUGCGGGGCCGCGACUGACGCUGAAGCUCGAAGGUGCGGGUAUCAAACAGGAUUAGAUACCCUGGUAGUCCGCACAGUAAACGAUGGCCACCCGCGGUUUGGCCUGUAUGGCUGAGCCGCCAAGCGAAAGCGUUAAGUGUCCCACCUGGGGAGUACGCCGGCAACGGUGAAACUCAAAUGAAUUGACGGGG
rnacentral:rRNA from 1 species